UUAGUACUCCCUCCGUCCGGAAAUACUUGUCGGCGAAGUGGAUGUAUCUAGACUUAUUUUAGUUCUAGAUACGCCCAUUUCUAUCCAUUUAUGCGACAGGUAAUUCCGAACAGAGGGAGUAAUAA
rfam:Triticum aestivum genome assembly, contig: Triticum_aestivum_CS42_TGACv1_scaffold_528207_6DL